CUUGAUUCAAUAUUAUGAAGUACAGAUUUAAUUUUAGUGGCCGGGCUAUGCUUGAUUUUGAUUUAUCUCUUGGGCAGUUGCUAUGAAUUGUGCUUAGGCAAUUAGGCACUUAUAUGCAGGUGAUUAAUGGAAUGGUCUCCGUUCGAUAUCGUGUCGAAAGUUACUCACUGGAUUUGCGUCAACCCACCUUGCCGAAAGUUUUCAGUAUCGGAAAUCAUAAGAAAUGAUUUAUCUGACACUCCCAUAUGUUAUUAAACAACCAUUGUGGAAUAUUCGUCUCCUGGCGGUUGUCUUCAUUUCACAUUAUCUUUGCAGAAAGCUGUUAGUCGACGCAAAAUUUGACGCAGAUUUUACGCCCUCCCACUGGAACAAUUUUAUAACAAUGCAUCUGCUCGGGCACUUUAAAGCGAAAAGCCUGAUUCAUAUUUGGUGCGAUCUCGUAUUUAAGCCCUUCGUGAUAUACCGAUUAGAAUGCUUUCUUAAUGUCGAAUAUCGAAUCCCGCCGAUUUCUUUUCCUGAAGUGCUCUUCGAAUAUUGUUCGUUACUCUCUGAAGCUGGUUUUUGGUUAGCAGGCCUGACAAGUGAAAGGUGGAAAGGGGGCCGAAUAAUUUUCACCCAGGUCCAAAG